AAAACUCAAUACGAAAAAUUACAAUUGAAAUUUAUAGACCAUGAUCUUCUUGAAAUUCUAUCAAUUUCAAUUGUAAUUGUUCAUAUUAAGUUAUAUCGACUUUGGAAUUACGUUACAGCAACAGAGCAGCCGAACAAGCGGCCAUCUUGAAAUUAUAUACAGUCACCGUGCCUUGGUAAGUCAUAUCGUAAUUCUAAUACUACGUCGAAAAUAUGCACUUAAUAUCAUGUUUUGCACGAGUUACUAUUACUUAAAGAUAACAGGAAGGGCGGUAAAAAGCGAUUUUUGUUCUUAAGUACGCGGUUCUUUUGUAUUUGUUGUUCAAUUGGGAUUUGGCCACCUGACCGCAGCGCCACUCGGACGUUGCGGCGACGCUUUUUGGCUGCUCCUCCGACUGCCCCUUAACGGCGUUUGUUUGAUUUGUGGUCAAGACGCCAGAGACCCUUCCUGCAUAGAUGUUUAUGACACUGACGACGGAAAUUCCCGCGGGUUUGGCUAUUUUUCCGUGGAUUCUCGUCCUGAGCUCAACGAGUGGACCACCGAGGUACGACGGGUCACUUGGCUCCGAUGCCAUAAUUGUUUUUGGAAUUUUCCUGAAGGUGCUGAUGUGAUCUGUUCCGUUUCUUUUGCUCCAACGGAAGCUCGCCCUCUCCGGAUCCAGCUCGCUGGCACUGGUCCAUGGGUUCCGGAUCCGACCGAGGCUCUCUAUUCCUCCGCCGAUGAUUUUAGAUUUAAGUUCUAUAGUGCUCAACUGUAAUUUGUGAAAUUCUAAACGAAAUUAUUGGAAAUGACAAUAUAUUUUGCACGUACGCAAA